rnacentral:rRNA from 1 species
GAUGAACGCUGGCGGCGUGCUUAACACAUGCAAGUCGAACGGAAAGGCCCAAGCUUUCUUGGGUACUCGAGUGGCGAACGGGUGAGUAACACGUGGGUGAUCUGCCCUGCACUUCGGGAUAAGCCUGGGAAACUGGGUCUAAUACCGGAUAGGACCACAUUUUGGAUGGUGUGGUGGAAAGUUUUUCGGUGUGGGAUGAGCUCGCGGCCUAUCAGCUUGUUGGUGGGGUAAUGGCCUACCAAGGCGUCGACGGGUAGCCGGCCUGAGAGGGUGUACGGCCGCAUUGGGCCUGUGCUGCGGCCCAGACUCCUACGGGUGGCAGCAGUGGGGAAUAUUGCACGGUGCGCGCAAGCCUGAUGCAGCGACGCCUCGUGGGCGAUGACGGCCUUCGGGUUGUAAGCUCCUUUCGCUAGGGACGAAGCGUUUUUGUGACGGUACCUGGAGAAGAAGCACCGGCUAACUACGUG